rnacentral:rRNA from 1 species
GAAAGCAUGGGUAGCGAACAGGAUUAGAUACCCUGGUAGUCAUGCCGUAAACGAUGAUUACUAAGUGUUGGAGGGUUUCCGCCCUUCAGUGCUGCAGCUAACGCAUUAAGUAAUCCGCCUGGGGAGUACGACCGCAAGGUUGAAACUCAAAAGAAUUGACGGGGGCCCGCACAAGCGGUGGAGCAUGUGGUUUAAUUCGAAGCUACGCGAAGAACCUUACCAGGUCUUGACAUCUUCUGACAGUCUAAGAGAUUAGAGGUUCCCUUCGGGGACAGAAUGACAGGUGGUGCAUGGUUGUCGUCAGCUCGUGUCGUGAGAUGUUGGGUUAAGUCCCGCAACGAGCGCAACCCUUAUUACUAGUUGCCAGCAUUAAGUUGGGCACUUUAGUGAGACUGCCGGUGACAAACCGGAGGAAGGUGGGGACGACGUCAAAUCAUCAUGCCCCUUAUGACCUGGGCUACACACGUGCUACAAUGGAUGGUACAACGAGUCGCGAGACCGCGAGGUUAAGCUAAUCUCUUAAAACCAUUCUCAGUUCGGACUGUAGGCUGCAACUCGCCUACACGAAGUCGGAAUCGCUAGUAAUCGCGGAUCAGCAUGCCGCGGUGAAUACGUUCCCGGGCCUUGUACACACCGCCCGUCACACCAUGAGAGUUUGUAACACCCAAAGCCGGUGGGGUA